GCGAAAACUUUACAAUGCUGGCAACAGCGAUAAGGGAACCUCGAGUGCCAGGUUGCAAAUCUGGCUGUCGAGAUGCCUAAAAAGCAUUUCAUAGCAAGGGCCGGGCAAGACCGGUGCCAGCCGCCGCGGUAACACCGGCGGCUCGAGUGGUAACCGUUAUUAUUGGGUCUAAAGGGUCUGUAGCCGGCCGGAUAAGUCUCUUGAGAAAUCUGGCAGCUUAACUGUCAGGCUUUCAGGAGAUACUGUCUGGCUCGAGGCCGGGAGAGGUGAGAGGUACUUCAGGGGUAGGGGUGAAAUCUUGUAAUCCUUGAAGGACUACCAGUGGCGAAGGCGUCUCACCAGAACGGACCUGACGGCAAGGGACGAAAGCUAGGGGCACGAACC
rnacentral:rRNA from 1 species